CAAACUAAUGAAUGUCAUACGCAGAAAAGGCCCCGUAUCCAAAAUCACGCUGCACUUCUCUAAGCGGAUGAUAUCAAAAUUAAAAAACCGUCGUAAUCGCGUUCAUUAAGAUCUUCGGUUAUAUUUAAUAUUUGAAUUUGUACAAUUUUAAUUUUUUUUUCUUAUUGUUAGUAAAUGACCCUAAGUCAUUAAGUCAGGGUGUUCUGUUUAAGUCGGUGCAUUCAUUAUCUCGGAAAGUAUCAACUUUUUAGUAUCAACAAAAGACUCCUUUUAAGAUGAUACACGCUGGAGUAGAAGAACAGAAUAUUCUAAGGACAAAACCGAACAUUCCUGAUUCAGUGAAGUACAGGUAAUAAUUAAAGAAAUGUAUUACCUAUUUUAUUUUUAUAACAAUUUAUAAUUUAUUAUUUCUGUUGUAAUGGACGAAGUUAUAAAGGAAAUACAAGGCGAUGUGAGGUAUCAUGGUGCAUAAUAUUUACAGAUUUUAUAGUUUUGAUAAGAGAAAAUUUGGAAGAAGUUAAUAAUAAACUUUAGGAAUGGAGAGUAACACUUAAAGGAAAGGGAUUAAGGAUAAAUUUAUGUAAAACAGAGUUUAUAUAGUUUGAUUUUGAAGGAACAGGACAAGACAGCUAAUGACAAUAAGUAGUGAUAGGUAAGAUUAAGAGUUUUAAGUAUUAAGAUCUUUUUUUAAAAAAGAAUGGUGGCUUUGAUGAAGAUGUGAAACAUAGAAUUAAGUAUGAUUUCAAUGAGAUUUAAAGGUAAGUUAUACAAGAGUGUGGUAAUACCAGCUAUGUUGUAUGGUUUAGAGUGUUGGGUAGUAGAUGGGAAAAUAGAACAGAAAAUUAGUGUAGCAGAAAUAAGAAUGCAUAAAUUGAUAAAUGGAGUGACGAAAGAAGAUAGAUUAAGGAAUAAGUACAUAAGAGGUAGCUUAGGUGUGGCUUCUAUAGUAGACAAAAUGAGAGAAAAUAAACUCAAAUAGUCUUGGUAUGUCAUGAGAAGAGAGGAAACGGAAGCUGUAAGAAUUAUGAUGAAAAUAAAAGUUGAUGGAAAGGAGAGGAGAGAAAGACCAAAAACGAUGUAGUUGGAAUGAUGUGUGAAUGGCAUGUGUAUGCAAGGAUGACAUGUGGGAUCGAGUCAAGUGGAAAUAUUGGACAAUGGUGACAGACCCUAAAUAGUUGGAAUAAAGGCGAAGUAGAAAAAGAAGUAAUAAUUUAUAAUUAUUAUGCUCCUAUAUUAUAUCUUUGUAAUAGAAAUCUAUCGAUUCAACAUGAUAUAUUAACUGCAUCAUCUGGGGUUACUACUCUUUCAACUGAAUCUUCAAAGUACAACAGGUGAUAAUAACUACUUUUUUAUAAAACAAUUGUUAUAAAUCAUGGUUUUUCUACCUUAUAGAGUGUCCGUUAUAAGAAGGUGGUUUUAAUGUAUAUUAUGGCAGCUCUUAAAUGGAUCAUGGUUGAACUUUUAUGAAUGCACCCCCUAAGAUAGNAAUUUGAAAAUAUCAAAACCAAUAAUGCUGUAAGCUUUUCCCAUAUUUUCUACAUUUUUUCCCAAUUGUAAUGAAAACUGUUUAGAAAAUUAAAAAAUACCUCCUCUAUGUACUAACUACAUUUAACUAAUUUUGGAUCAAAAUAAAACAAAAAGAAAUUUCUUUUAAUUUUU
rnacentral:lncRNA from 1 species